CUCUCAGCUCACGGUAACAGGCACGUAACAGUUUUGGUUCAGCUAACUGGGUUUAGCUGAUGUAUAAUUUAGUAAUUUGAAAUAUAAAUUUUUGGUUUAGCUAAUUAGGAUUAGCAAUUAUGUAAUUUAGGAAUUUGGAAUGAGAUAUCGUUUUAAGGCACUCUAGUUUAUCGAGUAAACUAGCAGUAGGAAUUGCAUGAUUUUAAUUUCGCCCGGUCUAGUAGAGUUGUGUUUUAAGAAUGCUGAUCAUCGGUCCUGGCGGUUGGUUUUGCGUUUUUCCAGCGCAACUGUGAAGUCGUGCUGGUAAAACCAAGAAUAUGGUUACUGGUUUGUUGGUUCAUUUGGCAGUGGGGAAUUUUCCGAAUGGUUCGGAUGCCACACUGGUUUUAGUGUUGCGUGGGUUCGAAAUAAUAUAAAAUUCAAAAUUUAAGGAUGUUUUAGAGGGAUGGUUUUUUGGUAUGGUUUUGUGAGGUUGUAAGUUUUGGCAUUUCUUUUGGCAAUAUUUCGUAACCUGCGGCAUCACAGGUUUACUUUUGUGUGUUUCUCCCAUACUCGGUAUGGUCGAGGUGUGUUCGUUUUUUUUUCUUAUUUUUUCAUUUCUUUUGUGACACCUUGUUAGUUUAGUCGCUGAGGACAGCGAGCGUUUUACCCUUGGUAAAACGCUACAGCAGGGAGAGGGGUAUUGUGACAUUGCACAUUUUAGCUUAACAAUUUAACAACGGCAGUUUUAAAUUUGUCCCGAACGUAAUUACUUUUUGCGCAUAGCAAAGCCUUUAUGUGAUCUAGCAACUGGAUCGAUACUGGAUGACAGUUCGAUUAUCCAAUCAGAAUCAGCUGUCAACAAAGGGUGUUGCCAGAAUACAAAUAUGCACAAUUUUCAGAAUAUUUAAUUAUUUAGAAUUAACAAUUUAAAUGUAAUUAAUAAAUCAGAAAAUAGUCACUUUAUUGUUGGAAAAUUAUAUGGAAUUUUGUGCACUAGGAUUUUCAGUUGGUUGAAAUUUAUUUCUGCAGAGGACUGCUGAGGUGGUCAUUUUAGAUGUUAUCCCCAAGCCUCUCAAGGUCGUUAGGGCUCCUGAGAUCAUUUCCUGCACUUGCUAGCUGUCUCCGGUCCUGUUCAGGCCUCCAGUGCCUGCUUUUAUUUAUCGAGUUUCAUCUUCGAUCCAAAAAGUGAUCAGAUUGAUGGAGUGCUGGCGGUCAAUCCUUGUGUAGCCUAAGGGCAUUCUGGAGGAAUAUUUUCCCACCAUGAAUUUCUUCUGGUGGACUAUGUGGAGGGAAGGGUCGUCAGAGCUGAGAAAAUGAGCUCUCUCAAGUUCCAGCUGGUAAGGAAAUCAGAAUAGUAAUUGUCCACAUUUAAUAGGUUAGACCACAUUCACUUUUCUAAUGAUGUCUUGUUUUCCUUUUCAGCUGACUGGGAAUUAAAACUAUAUUUACAAUUACAAUUACAACUAAAUCUGUGUUUAGGCCUACUCCAGGUUAUACUGGUUAUACAGACAUUCAAGUAAUGUCUUCUUUAUAAAGCAUCGAAUGGUGCGAUAGCUUGCUUCCGGGGUCGAGCCUAUCCAGGCGAAGAAGAUGCUCUCAACUUGCUGAUGCGUCGGUUGCGGUGGUGCUUCAUUGUGUCACAGCGCCUGGGGCGACCAGCUUCAGCUCGCAGAAGGAGGGCUUACACAUUGUAUUAGCGGUAACUUCUGGCUUGAAGGUUGGUGUCAUUUUCUUUCUUCCUGGAAGGCAAGAUUAUUUAGUUUAGUUAAGAAGAAUUCCUAUUAUCUAUGUUGCCACUGAUAACUAGGGACUAACAGAACUUAGGAACGCUUGUAAAUCAUUUAGAAUUGAACUAUUGCACGGCCCAGCUCUACCGUCUGGCAAUACAUAUUAAGGUGCUAGCUUAAGCUUAGAAUAAUGAUUUACUGGCUAUAACUUGCUUUGUGUCCGUUAGACAAUAAAAUAGUGUGUCACAA
rnacentral:lncRNA from 1 species